GACGAACGCUGGCGGCGUGCUUAACACAUGCAAGUCGAACGGAAAGGCCCUGCUUUUGUGGGGUGCUCGAGUGGCGAACGGGUGAGUAACACGUGAGUAACCUGCCCUUGACUUUGGGAUAACUUCAGGAAACUGGGGCUAAUACCGGAUAGGAGCUCCUGCUGCAUGGUGGGGGUUGGAAAGUUUCGGCGGUUGGGGAUGGACUCGCGGCUUAUCAGCUUGUUGGUGGGGUAGUGGCUUACCAAGGCUUUGACGGGUAGCCGGCCUGAGAGGGUGACCGGCCACAUUGGGACUGAGAUACGGCCCAGACUCCUACGGGAGGCAGCAGUGGGGAAUAUUGCACAAUGGGCGGAAGCCUGAUGCAGCAACGCCGCGUGCGGGAUGACGGCCUUCGGGUUGUAAACCGCUUUCGCCUGUGACGAAGCGUGAGUGACGGUAAUGGGUAAAGAAGCACCGGCUAACUGCGU
rnacentral:rRNA from 1 species